rnacentral:rRNA from 1 species
AUUGAACGCUGGCGGCAGGCCUAACACAUGCAAGUCGAACGAGUGGCGGACGGGUGAGUAAUGUCUGGGAACCUGACUGAUGGAGGGGGAUAACUACUGGAAACGGUAGCUAAUACCGCAUACCAUCGGAUGGGGCCAGAUGGGAUUAGCUAGUAGGUGGGGGAAAGGCUUCCCUAGGCGACGAUCCCUAGCUGGUCUGAGAGGAUGACCAGCCACACUGGAACUGAGACACGGUCCAGACUCCUACGGGAGGCAGCAGUGGGGAAUAUGGCACAAUGGGCGCAAGCCUGAUGCAGCCAUGCCGCGUGUAUGAAGAAGGCCUUCGGGUUGUAAAGUACUUUCAGCGGGGAGGCGUUACCUGCAGAAGAAGCACCGGCUAACUCCGUGCCAGCAGCCGCGGUAAUUC